GUCUUCGUGGUGUAAUAGUCAGUACACUCGGCUCGUCCUCGAGAGGUCCGAGGUUCGAAUCCUGGAGAAGGCA
rnacentral:tRNA from 1 species